rnacentral:rRNA from 1 species
UCGUGUCGUGAGAUGUUCGGUUAAGUCCGGCAACGAGCGCAACCCACAUCCCUAGUUGCCAGCAGUUCGGCUGGGCACUCUAUGGAAACUGCCCGUGAUAAGCGGGAGGAAGGUGUGGAUGACGUCAAGUCCUCAUGGCCCUUACGGGUUGGGCUACACACGUGCUACAAUGGUAGUGACAAUGGGUUAAUCCCAAAAAGCUAUCUCAGUUCGGAUUGUCGUCUGCAACUCGACCCCAUGAAGUCGGAAUCGCUAGUAAUCGUGAAUCAGAAUGUCACGGUGAAUACGUUCCCGGGCCUU